rnacentral:miRNA from 1 species
UGACUAGAGUCACACUCGUC